rnacentral:rRNA from 1 species
CACGUAGGGGGCGAGCGUUGUCCGGAUUUAUUGGGCGUAAAGAGCUCGUAGGCGGCUCAGUAAGUCGGGUGUGAAAACUCCAGGCUCAACCUGGAGACGCCACCCGAUACUGCUGUGGCUAGAGUCCGGUAGGGGAGCGUGGAAUUCCUGGUGUAGCGGUGAAAUGCGUAGAUAUCAGGAGGAACACCGGUGGCGAAGGCGGCUCUCUGGUCCGCAACUGACGCUCAGGUGCGAAAGCAAGGGGAGCAAACGGG